UGGGGAAUUUUGGACAAUGGGCGCAAGCCUGAUCCAGCCAUGCCGCGUGCGGGAAGAAGGCCUUCGGGUUGUAAACCGCUUUUGUCAGGGAAGAAAUCUUCUGAGUUAAUACCUCGGGAGGAUGACGGUACCUGAAGAAUAAGCACCGGCUAACUACGUGCCAGCAGCCGCGGUAAUACGUAGGGUGCAAGCGUUAAUCGGAAUUACUGGGCGUAAAGCGUGCGCAGGCGGUUUUGUAAGACAGAGGUGAAAUCCCCGGGCUCAACCUGGGAACUGCCUUUGUGGCUGCAAGGCUUGAGUGCGGCAGAGGGGGGCAUGGAAUUCCGCGUGUAGCAGUGAAAUGCGUAGAUAUGCGGAGGAACACCGAUGGCGAAGGCAAUCCCCUGGGCCUGCACUGACGCUCAUGCACGAAAGCGUGGGGAGCAAACAGGAUUUAGAUACCCUGGUAGUCCACGCCCUAAACGAUGUCAACUGGUUGUUGGGGAAGGUUCCCUUUCCUCAGUAACGUAGCUAACGCGUGAAG
rnacentral:rRNA from 1 species